AUAAGCAGGAUUUCCAAAAUGUGGAGUGUUUAAAGCACCAUUAUUUCCCUAAAGCUCCUUUAUAUACAAUAACAAGAUCUUCUUAUACAGUAUAUGGGGACUCCUGAGACAAAGAUAUGAUUUGAGACACAAACAUUGAGACCUACGUGUUGUGUGAAGAGGAGAUCCAGUACUGAGACAGAGGCCUUUUCAUGUCCUCAGCAACAACAGCUGAGAGCCGAGGGUCAGACACAGAGUUCUCUUUAGAGAACAGGAACUUGCAGCAUGGGCUCAGGCUGCGGCCCCCCCCUCAUGUACCCGGUGAGGAACUCUCUGACACGACUCAGAUCCGACGCCCACGACUCCUGAGACGAGCCGGAGAAAGAAGGUGUAGGCCUGUUUUCGCGGAUGACACAACCAUCAUCGUGCUUAUCUCAGGGGGGAAAUGAGUCUGCGUAUAGGGACGAGGUACAGAGGCUGUCGAACUGCUAACUUUACACUGAACACCACUAAAACAAAGGAGAUGGACUGGAACUUCCGGAAGAAGCGUGACACAGAACAGUCCCCCCUUCCCAUUAAUAUAGAAUAUGUGGAGAGGGUGCAGACUUUUAAAUUCCUUAAAUAUCUCUCAUGACCUGUCCUGGUCAUCAAACACAGCAAUGACACUAAAAAGAGCACAGCAGAGACUUCACUUCCUCAGAGUGCUCAGAAGGAACAACGUCGAGAGGAAGCUGCUGGUGGCGUUCUACCGCGGGACCACUGAGAGCGUUCUAACACACUGUAUCUCGGUGUGGUAUGCAGGCUGCACUGCAGCAGACAAGAGGGCUCUGCGAAGGGUCAUCAAGACUGCAGGAAAGAUCACCGGCUGCUCCCUGCCUCCCUUGGAAGAACUUGCCACUUCACGCUAAAUCAAUGCAGCAAAAACCAUCGUUAAAGAUAUCUCACACCCUGGUCAUCCACUCUGAACUGUUACCAUCGGGCAGACGCUACACAGACGCUACAGAGCUGCCAAAAGUCGGACCACCAGAAAAGA